UAUGUGAUCGUCUCUCGCAUAUCAAUAAGCGGAGGAAAAGAAACUAACAAGGAUUCCCCUAGUAACGGCGAGUGAAGCGGGAAGAGCUCAAAUUUGAAAUCUUAAAGGGUUUCCCUUUACGAAUUGUAGUUUAAAGAAGUGUUUUCUGUUGAGGUUUUGGUAAAAGUUCUUUGGAAUAGGACAUCAUAGAGGGUGAGAAUCCCGUAUUUGACCUUUACCUUCAACUUUGUGAUACACUUUCAAAGAGUCGGAUUGUUUGGAAAUGCAGUCCAAAAUGGGUGGUAAAUUUCAUCUAAAGCUAAAUAUUGGCGAGAGACCGAUGGCGAACAAGUACCGUGAGGGAAAGAUGAAAAGAACUUUGAAAAGAGAGUUAAACAGUACGUGAAAUUGUCAAAAGGGAAGCGUUUGACACCAGUGUUGUUUUUCUGAAAAUCAAUUAAAGGACUGUUUAUGCUAAGCUGUUUAGACUUUAUCAGCUAUCUGUUUAGUUUUGAGCUUUUCUUUAAUGCACUUUUCAGUUAACAAGUCAACAUCAAUUUCUUUUGCUGUAAAAAAGCUUGAGGAAGGUGGCUUGAGAUUCGUCUUAAGUGUUUAUAGCCUCUUGCCUAUGCAGUCGGAGAGAUUGAGGUCUGCAGCGUAGAUCCUUCGGGGCUAAAUGCAUUUGUGCUAAGUUAUAGCAUUUUAUAGACAACUUGUUGACUAUGAUUUGUCUUGUAGCUUACUCGCUUGUGUUAUUUUACCUACGCUUAGGAUGUUGAGCGCAUGUCUCUCUCU
rnacentral:rRNA from 1 species